rnacentral:rRNA from 1 species
AGUGAACGCUGGCGGUAGGCCUAACACAUGCAAGUCGAACGGCAGCACAGUAAGAGCUUGCUCUUACGGGUGGCGAGUGGCGGACGGGCGAGGAAUACAUCGGAAUCUACUUUUUCGUGGAGUGUAACGUAGGGAAACUUACGCUACUACGGCACACGCCCUACGGGAGAAAGCAGGGGAUCUUCGGACCUUGCGCGAUCGAAUGAGCCGAUGUCGGGUUAGCUAGUUGGCGGGGCAAAGGCCCACCAAGGCGACGAUCCGUAGCUGGUCUGAGAGGGUGGUCAGCUACACUGGAACUGAGACACGGUCCAGACUCCUACGGGAGGCAGCAGUGGGGAAUAUUGGACGAGGGGCGCAAGCCUGAUCCAGCCAUACCGCGUGGGGGAAGAAGGCGUUCGGGUUGUAAAGCCCUUUUGGUGGGAAAGAAGAGCAGCAGGUUAAGACCCCGCUGUUCUGACGGUACCCAAAGAAGAAGCACCGGCUAACUUCGUG